CGCUACUGAAUGGUUAAAGCGCCCAACUCAUAAUUGGCAAAUCCGCAGGUUCGAUUCCUGCUGGAUGCA
rnacentral:tRNA from 1 species